UACGGAGGAUGCGAGCGUUAUCCGGAUUUAUUGGGUUUAAAGGGUGCGCAGGCGGAGGUGCAAGUCAGUGGUCAAAUUGCGGGGCUCAACCCCGUACUGCCGUUGAAACUGCAUCCCUUGAGUGCGCGAGAAGUAUGCGGAAUGCGUGGUGUAGCGGUGAAAUGCAUAGAUAUUACACAGAACACCGAUUGCGAAGGCAGCUUGCUAGGCCGGAUCUGACACUGAUGCACGAAAGCGUGGGGAUCGAACAGG
rnacentral:rRNA from 1 species